ensembl:lncRNA
AUUGCCAAAAGCCUCACAGCUCACCUCGACCAUCUGUGUCCAGAGGCCUUCCUAACCACAAUACAGGCAUCUCCAGUUAAGACUGUGGACUGGGAAACCCUUGCCCUCCAGUUAAGACUGUGGACUGGGAAACCCUUGCCCUCUUCUGGCCUGAUUUAUAGACCUGACUGUGAGAGUUCGACAGCCUUGACGAACAGGGCUGCUGAGCACGCUGGUGGCCAGUUGGAAAAAUACGUGAAGCCAGGGAGUGGAAGGAGGCCUGGCCGCCUGGUGGGCUCUGAGUCACAUAGGUCAGCGGGAGCUGGCCCACUCAGCCUGUCACCCUCAGCUGUCUCUCUGUGCUGCACACGGAGCCAGGGCUCGGAGAUGGGAACUGCGAUUUAUAAGCUCUCAGGCAAAAUCAACUUUCGGGUGAAGAAAACCCACAUACACGAGGGUAAAUACAUAUGUCAUUCUUACUGCCAAGACCUGGUACAUCUGGAUUAUCCACAAAAUGGGAAAUUACCAAGCGGUAUGCCCAUUUGUGAAGUAAGACACUCAAGCCAAAACAACCCUCAGGUUCCCGCACGCUGGCCAGCCUGACCAUAAAUGGCUGUGCACGCAAACCAAGGCGUGNNNNNNNNNNNNNNNNNNNNNNNNNNNNNNNNNNNCGAGAUUCUGUUGGUGCUGGAAUCACUCACUCUAUCCUUUCUGAUAGGCAAAGGGCAAAUGUCCUCCUACCAAGCUGAGACUUUGCAGUUUAUGAUGCUUAUAGACUUCCUGUCACCCUGAAUUAGGCCCAGUUCCCCGCUGGAUUUCUCUAAUGGCUCCCUGAACCUGCCUCUCACAGCUCCUCUCACAGCUUGUGACUAGAUUUGUGUGGGUGUGAUUAUUUGUGUCUUCCUCUCGUUAGACUGUCAGCUUUAUGAGAGCAGGAGUCCUAUCUGCUCUCCUCGUGAUUGACUCCCAGCACUAAACACAGAGACGGGUAUAUGGUGGGAGUCCAAUCAAUAUUUAUUAANNNNNNNNNNNNNNNNNNNNNNNNNNNNNNNNNNNNNNNNNNNNNNNNNNNNNNNNNNNNNNNNNNNNNNNNNNNNNNNNNNNNNNNNNNNNNNNNNNNACACAGAGAUGGGUAUAUGGUGGGAGUCCAAUCAAUAUUUAUUAAACUAGUGCACAAGUAAAUGAAUGGAUGGAUGAUUAAUGAAUGGAGCUGAAAGAAAUCAUAGACAAUAAGUCUAGCACCAUCAUUCAAUAGAUGAAGAUAGAGAAGUUAAAUGGUUUGUUCAAGUCUAUGAAGCUUUUUUGAUUUCACAUGUAUGAAGACAGAUUGAGUUUGUCAAUUAAUUCUAAAGUAUUGAUUAAACAUGUAUUCCGUUGUGUUAAGGAACUCAAAGAUGGCUAAAAUUCAAUAUUCCUACUGUUAAAAAGUAGCAGUUAAACUGAUAAGAGAAAAGUAGUGACUAUUCAUUAAGUGCUUUCAAUAUAUUAUUUCAUUUAUGAAAUAGGUCUUAGCAUUUCCAUUGAACAGAUAGGAAAGACAAGCUCAGAGAUAAUAUUACUCAAUUGUGUUGAGCUUUUACUAUAUGCCAAAGCAUUUCUACACAUUUUACCUCCAUUCAUAAUUUAAUUCUCAAGACUUGACUAGGGGAGGAUCCACUUCCAGGCUUGGUCAUGGGAAUAUUGUCAGGACUCAUGUCUUUACUCACUGUUGGCCAGAGCCAGCUCCUCGUUAAAUAGGCCUCUCCAUAGCAGGCUCACAGCAUGGCACCUCGCUCUUCUGAGAGCAGUGCCUGAGAGAUACAGACAGAGAGAGAGACGGAAGUUAAANNNNNNNNGUCUUUCUGACAUAAUCUCAGGGGUGAUUUCCUGUCACAUCAUUAUUACCACUUUUUAAUAAACACUUGUUUUUAAUUUAUCUGGCUGCACCGGGUCUUUGUUGAGCUAUGUGGGAUCUAGUUCCCUGACCAGGGAUUGAGCCCAGGCCCCCUGCAGUAGGAGCAGAGUCUUAACCACUGGACCACCGGGCAAGUCCUGUCAUUUUCUAUUCAUUAGUCGUGAGCCAUUAGGUCCAGCCCACACUCAAUGAGAGAGGAUUACACAAGGGUGUGAGUAACAGGAGGCAGGGAUGACAGGUCAUCCUAGAAUCUGCCAACCACAGCAAGAUUAGUUUAAUAACCCCAAACUAGUGUAUUAACCACAUUAAUAUAACAAAGAAGAAAAGGAUGAUCACCUCAAUAGAUUUUUUAAGAAAACCAAGUAUUUGAUAAAAUGUGACAUUACUGAUGACAAGAGCUAGAAAUGAAAGUGAUUGGUCUCAUUCUGAUAAAAACAUGUGAUAGAUUGCGUUAACACCCUGACGUCCUCACCCUUCCUGUACCACACCCUUUGCCAUGUGAGUUUAUGGUGGCCUCCCAUCAUGGGCAAGAUUAUUGUGGACUCUGGACUCAGCCGUGUGACUCACUUUGGCCAUAUAUUGCCAUUAAAAUAUUUGGCAUAUUAACAGAUGUGAUGCCAACAGUGUUCUGAAAUGAGACUGCCUAUUGGGGGUUGCUCUUCUGUUCUUCUGCGAUUCACCAUGAGAAAGACCUAGGCAGGCUAUCCCACUGGCUCCAUAAGGAGACGAGAAACAGGUGGAACACAGCUACCCCAGCUAAAGUAUGCAGUCAAACCCAGGUGAGAACAGAGCCCCAAGUGACGUGUAUAUGCGUGUGUGAACCCAUCUAAGACCAGCACAACAAUCCAGUGAGGCUCAGCUCAGAUCAGCUGACUACCACAAAUCUGUAAGACGUGUCUAUUAUUAUAUGCCACUGGGGUUUUUGUGGUUCUUUUGUUAUGCAGUAAAAGCUGACUUAUUCAGGUUAUCUAUAAAGCUACCACCAGCAAAUAUCAGCUUAAGAGUGAUAUGUUAAAAGUUUUCCUCUGAGACUAGAAAUUUCUUAAGUUUGACUGCAAUUCAUACUUCUUUUUAACUUGGUCUGGGCAUUUUCACCAGUGCAAAAAGGCAAGAAAUGGAAAUAAAAGAAGAAUAGAAAUAAAAAAAAAUAGUUGUCCUAAUUUGCAGAUGAUCUAUGUACACAUACAAUCCAAAAGAAUCUUCAAAUCAAUGAUCAGAAUUAGUAAGUGAAUUUAUCUAGGUCACUAGAUUCAAAGUCAGUAUACAGAAACAACUGUAUUUCUAUGUGCCAGCAAUAAAACAAAAGAUUUUCAACAUCUCUGUACAGAGACUAUUGAGAGAAAUUAAAGAAACUACCAUAAAAGAAAAAAGAAGGACUAUGUUGUGUUCAUGGAUUGUAAAUACAUCAGUUAUCCCCAAACUGAUCUCCCCAGUGCAAUCCCAAUAGAAUUCUCAACAAGACUUUUGUGAAAAUUUACAUAUUGGUUUCAAAAUUUAUUUGGAAACACAAAGGGCCAAGAAUAGCUAAAACCAUCUUGAAUAAAACAGUGAGGAAACUUUUUUUCCUCAGAAAAAAAAUCAAUAUAAU